rnacentral:tRNA from 1 species
UCCCUGGUGGUCCAAUGGUUAGAACUCAGCACUUUCACUACUAUGGGCCCAGGUUCAACCCCUGGUCUGGGAA